AAUAGAUACCCGGGUAGUCCAUGCCGUAAACGUUGGGAACUAGAUGUAGGGACUGUUCCACGGUUUCUGUGUCGUAGCUAACGCAUUAAGUUCCCCGCCUGGGGAGUACGGCCGCAAGGCUAAAACUCAAAGGAAUUGACGGGGGCCCGCACAAGCGGCGGAGCAUGCGGAUUAAUUCGAUGCAACGCGAAGAACCUUACCAAGGCUUGACAUAUAGAAGAACGGGCUGGAAACAGUCAACUCUUUGGACACUUCUAUACAGGUGGUGCAUGGUUGUCGUCAGCUCGUGUCGUGAGAUGUUCGGUUAAGUCCGGCAACGAGCGCAACCCUCGUCCUAUGUUGCCAGCGGGUUAUGCCGGGAACUCAUGGGAUACUGCCGUGGUCAACACGGAGGAAGGUGGGGAUGACGUCAAAUCAUCAUGCCCCUUAUGUCUUGGGCUUCACGCAUGCUACAAUGGCCGGUACAAAGGGCUGCGAUACCGUAAGGUGGAGCGAAUCCCAAAAAGCCGGUCUCAGUUCGAUUGGGGUCUGCAACUCGACCC
rnacentral:rRNA from 1 species